rnacentral:rRNA from 1 species
AGAGUUUGAUCAUGGCUCAGAUUGAACGCUGGCGGCAGGCCUAACACAUGCAAGUCGAGCGGUAGCACAGAGAGCUUGCUCUCGGGUGACGAGCGGCGGACGGGUGAGUAAUGUCUGGGAAACUGCCUGAUGGAGGGGGAUAACUACUGGAAACGGUAGCUAAUACCGCAUAANGGCUCACCUAGGCGACGAUCCCUAGCUGGUCUGAGAGGAUGACCAGCCACACUGGAACUGAGACACGGUCCAGACUCCUACGGGAGGCAGCAGUGGGGAAUAUUGCACAAUGGGCGCAAGCCUGAUGCAGCCAUGCCGCGUGUGUGAAGAAGGCCUUCGGGUUGUAAAGCACUUUCAGCGGGGAGGAAGGCGUUAAGGUUAAUAACCUUGGCGAUUGACGUUACCCGCAGAAGAAGCACCGGCUAACUCCGUGCCAGCAGCCGCGGUAAUACGGAGGGUGCAAGCGUUAAUCGGAAUUACUGGGCGUAAAGCGCACGCAGGCGGUCUGUCAAGUCGGAUGUGAAAUCCCCGGGCUCAACCUGGGAACUGCAUUCGAAACUGGCAGGCUAGAGUCUUGUAGAGGGGGGUAGAAUUCCAGGUGUAGCGGUGAAAUGCGUAGAGAUCUGGAGGAAUACCGGUGGCGAAGGCGGCCCCCUGGACAAAGACUGACGCUCAGGUGCGAAAGCGUGGGGAGCAAACAGGAUUAGAUACCCUGGUAGUCCACGCCGUAAACGAUGUCGAUUUGGAGGUUGUGCCCUUGAGGCGUGGCUUCCGGAGCUAACGCGUUAAAUCGACCGCCUGGGGAGUACGGCCGCAAGGUUAAAACUCAAAUGAAUUGACGGGGGCCCGCACAAGCGGUGGAGCAUGUGGUUUAAUUCGAUGCAACGCGAAGAACCUUACCUGGUCUUGACAUCCACAGAACUUUCCAGAGAUGGAUUGGUGCCUUCGGGAACUGUGAGACAGGUGCUGCAUGGCUGUCGUCAGCUCGUGUUGUGAAAUGUUGGGUUAAGUCCCGCAACGAGCGCAACCCUUAUCCUUUGUUGCCAGCGGUUAGGCCGGGAACUCAAAGGAGACUGCCAGUGAUAAACUGGAGGAAGGUGGGGAUGACGUCAAGUCAUCAUGGCCCUUACGACCAGGGCUACACACGUGCUACAAUGGCAUAUACAAAGAGAAGCGACCUCGCGAGAGCAAGCGGACCUCAUAAAGUAUGUCGUAGUCCGGAUUGGAGUCUGCAACUCGACUCCAUGAAGUCGGAAUCGCUAGUAAUCGUAGAUCAGAAUGCUACGGUGAAUACGUUCCCGGGCCUUGUACACACCGCCCGUCACACCAUGGGAGUGGGUUGCAAAAGAAGUAGGUAGCUUAACCUUCGGGAGGGCGCUUACCACUUUGUGAUUCAUGACUGGGGUGAAGUCGUAACAAGGUAACCGUAGGGGAACCUGCGGUUGGAUCACCU